CGCGUAGGCGGGUGCUCAAGUCCGGGGUGAAAUCCUCCAGCUCAGCUGGAGAACUGCCUCGGAUACUGGGUGCCUCGAGGGUGGUAGGGGUAUGCGGAACUAUCGGUGGAGCGGUGAAAUGCGUUGAUAUCGAUAGGAACUCCGGUGGCGAAGGCGGCAUACUGGACCACUUCUGACGCUGAGGCGCGAAAGCCAGGGAGCAAACG
rnacentral:rRNA from 1 species